rnacentral:tRNA from 1 species
GGGCCUAUAGCUCAACGGUUAGAGCAGGGAACUCAUAAUUCCUUGGUUCCUGGUUCGAAUCCGGGUGGGCCCA